GCCUGGCUGGUUCAGUUGGUAGAGCAUAGGACUCUUGAUCUUGGGGUUGUGAGUUCCAACCCUAUGACGGGUG
rnacentral:tRNA from 1 species